AUUGAGCGCUGGCGGCAGGCCUAACACAUGCAAGUCGAGCGGCAGCGGGAAAGUAGCUUGCUACUUUUGCCGGCGAGCGGCGGACGGGUGAGUAAUGCCUGGGGAUCUGCCCAAUCGAGGGGGAUAACUACUGGAAACGGUAGCUAAUACCGCAUACGCCCUACGGGGGAUAGCAGGGGACCUUCGGGCCUUGCGCGAUUGGAUGAACCCAGGUGGGAUUAGCUAGUUGGUGAGGUAAUGGCUCACCAAGGCGACGAUCCCUAGCUGGUCUGAGAGGAUGAUCAGCCACACUGGAACUGAGACACGGUCCAGACUCCUACGGGAGGCAGCAGUGGGGAAUAUUGCACAAUGGGGGAAACCCUGAUGCAGCCAUGCCGCGUGUGUGAAGAAGGCCUUCGGGUUGUAAAGCACUUUCAGCGAGGAGGAAAGGUUGGUAGCUAAUAACUGCCAGCUGUGACGUUACUCGCAGAAGAAGCACCGGCUAACUCCGUGCCAGCAGCCGCCGUAACAC
rnacentral:rRNA from 1 species